AACGAACGCUGGCGGCAGGCUUAACACAUGCAAGUCGAACGCGUGUAGCAAUACACGAGUGGCGCACGGGUGAGUAACGCGUGGAUAUCUGCCUUUUGGUUCGGAAUAACCCCGGGAAACUGGGGCUAAUACCGGAUGGUUCCUUCGGGAUAAAGAUUUAUCGCCAAAAGAUGAGUCCGCGUACGAUUAGCUAGUUGGUGAGGUAAUGGCUCACCAAGGCGACGAUCGUUAGCUGGUCUGAGAGGACGAUCAGCCACACUGGGACUGAGACACGGCCCAGACUCCUACGGGAGGCAGCAGCGGGGAAUAUUGGACAAUGGGGGCAACCCUGAUCCAGCCAUGCCGCGUGAGUGAUGAAGGCCUUCGGGUUGUAAAGCUCUUUUGGCGGGGACGAUGAUGACGGUACCCGCAGAAUAAGCCCCGGCUAACUUCGUGGCAGCCGCCGCAGUAACAC
rnacentral:rRNA from 1 species